GGCACGCGCCAGCCAGCUAGUGGCAUGAAGCGGCAAKCACCGAGCCGACUGUCGUACAUUGAGAGAGCUUUCGUUAGGGACRCGACCGCAACGGGRCACGAGCCUUUAUCAUUUGCAACAUCCGAAACCAAUAGUGYGAGCGAGGUGGCCUUGGAAGCNCCGGGGACGUAGGGGGCCGGCACCACNAGGCAACGCCGCAC
rnacentral:misc_RNA from 1 species